UGGGUCAAGGUCGGCUAGUGAGACGAUGGGGGAUAAGCUUCAUCGUCGAGAGGGAAACAGCCCGGAUCACCAGCCAAGGCCCCUAAAUGACCGCUCAGUGAUAAAGGAGGUAGGGGUGCAGAGACAGCCAGGAGGUUUUCCUAGAAGUAGCAACCCUUGAAAGAGUGCGUAAUAGCUUAACAAAGUCCUAAAUUUAAAGGUGUUCAAAAUAAGGAAUGUUUGUCCCAAAACACAU
rnacentral:ncRNA from 1 species